rnacentral:rRNA from 1 species
AACGAACGCUGGCGGCAUGCCUAACACAUGCAAGUCGAACGGGAUCCUAGCUUGCUAGGUGAGAGUGGCGGACGGGUGAGUAACACGUGGGAAUCUGCCUUUUGGUUCGGGAUAACCGCGGGAAACUGCGGCUAAUACCGAAUGCCCUCGAGAGAGGAAAGAUUUAUCGCCAGAAGAGGAGCCCGCGUCCGAUUAGGUAGUUGGUGGGGUAAAGGCCUACCAAGCCGACGAUCGGUAGCUGGUCUGAGAGGAUGAUCAGCCACACUGGGACUGAGAUACGGCCCAGACUCCUACGGGAGGCAGCAGUGGGGAAUAUUGGACAAUGGGGGCAACCCUGAUCCAGCAAUGCCGCGUGAGUGAUGAAGGCCUUAGGGUUGUAAAGCUCUUUUGUCCAGGGAAGAAUGAUGACUGUACCUGGAGAAUAAGCCCCGGCUAACUUCGUGCCAGCAGCCGCGGUAAU